rnacentral:rRNA from 1 species
UACGUAGGCAGCGAGCGUUGUUCGGAGUUACUGGGCGUAAAGCGUGCGUAGGCGGUGUCUUAAGUUUGUUGUGAAAUCUCCCGGCUUAACCGGGAGGGUGCGGCGAAUACUGAGAUGCUGGAGUGCCGGAGAGGUAAGCGGAAUUCCUGGUGUAGCGGUGAAAUGCGUAGAGAUCGGGAGGAACACCUGUGGCGAAGGCGGCCCCCCUGGGCCGGCCCCGUGACACUGGAGACGCGAAGGCGUGGGGAGCGAACGGGG